AUAUAUGCUUUCUUCCUCGGAAUGAAUUGUUCUGGUUGAUAUGUUGGAUAUGGAAUGCUUUUCAUACUUGAACCGUGCUCUAGAAAGUUUUCUAUCACCAAUAGUGAUUUUUCCCGCAAAUAGAGGAAUAUGUAAUGUCAGAUAUUAGCAAUUCGUGCAUAGGUGGAGGAACUGGUAAUUGACGAAGAAAGCCUGGCUCUCUCUCAUAUCCCUCCACGCUGCAACUCCAGGCCACUUGUACCCUCUCCUCUAAAAAGAAGUUGUCAAUCCCCUCUCUCUCCUUCUUUGAUCAAUUGCAAAGCUAAAGUUUCCUUGAUUCUUUCUUUGAUAUUUUUUUUCUCCCUUUUUAUUCUUUUCCUCUUUUCUUUCCUUUUUUUUCUGAUCAAUCACUUGAUUACUAAGAGAGCUGAACUAUUUGUUUUCCAAAAGUCAUUGGAAGCUUCCAAAUCUGUAAAUGAAGCAAAGCUCCUCCUCCACCACCAUAGAUUGUCAUGUGCCAAAUUGGCGACUCUAUGACUUUUCCCCCUUCUCUUUUUUCUUUACUCUUAUGUUUUAAUGGAUAUUUAGUAUUUUUUUCCUCAAAUGCAGCCACAGUACAAAAAAGCCUAUGAUGAAAGCUCCAGUGGCACCAUCAAUUGUUUGUCGUAUUUACCAUAAUGUUCUACAAUCUGUAAUCCCACGAUUCUUCUUCCUUUACAUUUUAUUUUUUUUAAUUCCUUGUUUCUGGCACCUUUAGUUUUCCUUUGCUUGAUUUUUUGCUCUUUUUCACGCUCAUCUUGGCUUAUUUCGUGUCAUUUUCUGAAUUUAUUGCCAGGUACAAUGGAAUAAGAUGGAUUUUUCUAAUUAUCUAAAUUCACAAUAAUAGAGGAAGGAUAGCAAGGAAUAUUUACUUUCUGUAUGUUGGGUUAGUAGAAUUUCAAAUCCUGAUUCUUCAAUUUGUUCACCUUAUAUUUCUGUUUCUGUUCCUUGGCUAGGAUUAAGGAUUAAGGCCUGACAAGGUUUGUGCCCUUUCACAUGCACCGUUGCAGAAGUUGCACCAAAAUUUCCUUUGUAUCAUUUGAUCAAGCAAGAAAGAUAUUUCCUCCCAACUGGAAAUAGCUUAUUGCUUCUGAUGGAGUUAAUAUCACACAAUUUAUCAAGUGUUGUAUCCUAUUCGAACGAGGAAAAAAUACUACAAACAUACCAGUUGUGAACUGGAUAAAACAGCUUGUUGCAACAUAUUUAUCAGAACUAUGUGGCCUCAACAACUUGUUGGAAGCCUUUAGCUGUGAUGCGGAUCAAUGGAGCUGAAAAGAUUUAGAUUAUCACCUUCAGCUAUGACUGUAUUGGCAUAUGUAUAUAUGGCUUUUGCUAACAUCAAUGUUGCGAAACCUUGGCCUGUUGCACUUUGCUAUUAUUUUCUAAUUGGAAAAUGCAGCAUUGUUCACUAGGCUCAGUAACUAGAAUGAUAUUGUGAAAAACUGACUAAUAAGAAAGUUGAACAUUAUCGCAAAUGCUUUGGCACAUAUGUUAUGUAUAUCUUGCGAGUAUUGUAGUUUGUGCAUGUAAAGUACUUUGCCUUUGCCUACUAGGAGCUACUCUGCAGAGUUUUGA